rnacentral:rRNA from 1 species
GAUGAACGCUGGCGGCGUGCCUAAUACAUGCAAGUCGAGCGAACAGACGAGGAGCUUGCUCCUCUGACGUUAGCGGCGGACGGGUGAGUAACACGUGGAUAACCUACCUAUAAGACUGGGAUAACUUCGGGAAACCGGAGCUAAUACCGGAUAAUAUAUUGAACCGCAUGGUUCAAUAGUGAAAGACGGUUUUGCUGUCACUUAUAGAUGGAUCCGCGCCGCAUUAGCUAGUUGGUAAGGUAACGGCUUACCAAGGCAACGAUGCGUAGCCGACCUGAGAGGGUGAUCGGCCACACGGGAACUGAGACACGGUCCAGACUCCUACGGGAGGCAGCAGUAGGGAAUCUUCCGCAAUGGGCGAAAGCCUGACGGAGCAACGCCGCGUGAGGGAUGAAGGUCUUCGGAUCUUAAAACUCUGUUAUUAGGGAAGAACAAAUGUGUAAGUAACUAUGCACGUCUUGACGGUACCUAAUCAGAAAGCCACGGCUAACUACGUG